UACUGUGCAAAUCAGUUUAAUUUGAUGAUUAUUGACUUACUAAUAUUUUUGUUUUUAUUUUUCUGA
rnacentral:tRNA from 1 species